GGCCCGGGAGCGGGGCGGCCCUGCGCCCCCCCCGAACCGGCCCAGCUCCCCAGGCACGGAGCGGGAAGCGCCCGCCCCGGGAGGAGGGCACUGCCCCCCUCAGGGACCAGCAUAACGGGGAGGGGCGGAAGGGGCUGCCCUCCCGCCCCCCGGGACUGAGCCAGGUCCCCCCUGAGAGAAGGAGAUAAUUCCAGAAAAGCAAGAGACAACUGAGGAAAAUACAGGAAUAGUAAGACGUGAGCUGGUAAUGUAGAAAUUUACCUAAACUAUGAUGACCUCUGUGCCCCAUCCAGCCAGUGACUCUGGAGUCAUUCCUAAGGACAGACUUCUCUGAAACCAGGCUUAAUUUGUAAUGAAAGAAGUGCCGGGGCUCAAGCAAUUUUUUUACAUUCGUAACUGAUGCAGCAAGCCCAGAGGUGCCGG